rnacentral:misc_RNA from 1 species
CACGCCGGCACCGCCUAGAAGGCUCUCGGUCUGCUUGCUCCUUCUUACCACAACGACCACGCUGCUAGCGCCGACAGCGACGCCGCCGCUGCCUCAACGUGCGUCCAGCCCCCGCCGCCGUCGUUUCUUGGAGCUAUUUGUGUUGGCGCUAAGGUGUAUGGUCGCAAGAAUUGGAUCUUUCAACAAGCAAAACAUACAACAACAUAACAACCUUGAAGCUCAAGGCAGCCUUGGAAUUGAAGACCAAAAUCUACAGUCUUUUGAGUCACCACCGAAAAGGGCUAGACGCAAAUCUUUAAAAUUUGAUUGCGAUGAGGAUGCAUCCGAUAAGGAUAAAUGUAUGACUAUUUCAUUCACUUCCUGCAUUGUAUGUAAAGGCUAUUUCCCCCCACUGUGCAACUGCCCUCAAGACACACAUGCUAAUUAUUGUUGCUCAAAAUUAAACAAACAAUGCCAAACAUCUAAUGACAAUAGCUUUUCUUACAGUCAAAUAAGUUAA